AUUGAACGCUGGCGGCAUGCCUUACACAUGCAAGUCGAACGGUAACAGGUCUUCGGAUGCUGACGAGUGGCGAACGGGUGAGUAAUACAUCGGAACGUGCCCGAUCGUGGGGGAUAACGAAGCGAAAGCUUUGCUAAUACCGCAUAAGAUCCAAGGAUGAAAGCAGGGGACCGCAAGGCCUUGCGCGAACGGAGCGGCCGAUGGCAGAUUAGGUAGUUGGUGGGAUAAAAGCUUACCAAGCCGACGAUCUGUAGCUGGUCUGAGAGGACGACCAGCCACACUGGGACUGAGACACGGCCCAGACUCCUACGGGAGGCAGCAGUGGGGAAUUUUGGACAAUGGGCGAAAGCCUGAUCCAGCCAUGCCGCGUGCAGGAUGAAGGCCUUCGGGUUGUAAACUGCUUUUGUACGGAACGAAAAGACUCUGGUUAAUACCUGGGGUCCAUGACGGUACCGUAAGAAUAAGCACCGGCUAACUACGUGCCAGCCGCCGCAGUAACAC
rnacentral:rRNA from 1 species